rnacentral:lncRNA from 1 species
AGAGAACUGGAGCUGAGGCCAUCAAGGCAGCCAGGAGCCAGGUGCAGACUGGGCUUUGACUCUGUGUGCAGGGAGGAACUGCUGAAGGUUCCAAGCAAAGGACCGCCCUGACCUGCCUUAGGUUUGAACAGGAUCCCUCUGGCUGGUGUAUGAAGAAUUAACUGUAGAUGGGCAAGUGUGGAAGGAAGGAGAGCAGUCAGGAAGCUGCCACAACCAUCUACAUGAGAGAGAAUCGUGUAACAGACACUACUCAAUAUCGAUCUCAACUGAUCCAGUUCUCCAGUCUCCCUGGAAAACAAUGGAUUGAUGCCCAGGGUGCGCUGAACACUGGAACCAUGGUCACUUCUGCACUUCACACGAUUCUGCUCCCACCAGUUGAGCUACCAACAGUUCCUGGUGCUUUUGCUUCCCAAACAUGUUUAUGCCA